rnacentral:misc_RNA from 1 species
CCUAGAGUUGUAGGCUUUGCCUGCUAUCUCUUACCCAUGUCUUUUGAGUACCUUCGUUUCCUCGGCGGGUCCGCCCGCCGAUUGGACAAUUUAAACCAUUUGCAGUUGCAAUCAGCGUCUGAAACAGUUAAUAAUUA